GUGCUUGCUUUGGCAGCCCAUAUAUGAGAAUUGGAACAACACAGAAAAGAUUAGCACAGCCCCUGCACAAGGAUGAUACACAAAUUUAUGAAGCAUUCCAAUACAUC